GUGUCAGCCGCCGCGGUAAUACGAAGGGGGCUAGCGUUGCUCGGAAUUACUGGGCGUAAAGGGAGCGUAGGCGGACAUUUAAGUCAGGGGUGAAAUCCCGGGGCUCAACCUCGGAAUUGCCUUUGAUACUGGGUGUCUUGAGUAUGAGAGAGGUGUGUGGAACUCCGAGUGUAGAGGUGAAAUUCGUAGAUAUUCGGAAGAACACCAGUGGCGAAGGCGACACACUGGCUCAUUACUGACGCUGAGGCUCGAAAGCGUGGGGAGCAAACAGGAUUAGAUACCCCCGUAGUCC
rnacentral:rRNA from 1 species